AGUCUGUUGUUUUUUGUAACAGAUUUUUUCUGCCCGGUGAUUGGUUAAACGGCCGCGGUAUCUUGACCGUGCAAAGGUAGCAUAAUCAUUUGUUCUUUAAUUGGGGACUUGUAUGAAGGAAAGGUUGAGGUUUUAUUUGUCUCUUUUUUAGUUUAGAAUUUGCUUUUUGUGUGAAGAAGCACAGUUUUAUGAAAAAGACAAGAAGACCCUUUUAAGCUUUAUUUUUAUUUUUAUGCUGUUUGUUUUAAAAAUAUUUAGGUAGUAAAAUUUAAAAUUUAGUUGGGGUGACUAAAGAAGACUCUAUCUUCUUUUGUUUGAAUAACUGUUUGUUGGAGAAAGACCCGGAAUUUUCUGGUUGGAAGAAUUAGUUACUAAAGGGAUAACAGCGUAAUCUUUUCAGAGAGUUCUUAUUGAAGAAAAGGAUUGCGACCUCGAUGUUGACUUGCUUUUUCCUUUUAAGGUGCAGGGGCUAAAAGGGUUGGUCUGUUCGACCAUUAAAAUAGU
rnacentral:rRNA from 3 species